rnacentral:rRNA from 1 species
CCCUUGUAUUAAAAUAAAUAAAUUAAAAUUAAUAUAUAAUGAAAUUUAAUAAUUUUUGGCGGUUGAUUGCUAAUUAGAGGAGCUUGUAUUAUUAAUAGAAUUAGCUCUUUAUAUUUAAAAAAUAAAUAAUAUAUUCAUCUCCGUUAUAAAAUGUUAAAUUGAAUUAUAAAUUUUGUUAUUAAAUUUCAGGUCAAGAUGUAGUAUUUAUUAGGGGAUAUUAGCUACAGUUAUACAAUGUAUGGUUUAUAAAAAAGAAUUUUAAUAAUAAAUUGAAUUUAAUUGUAAUUAUGAUUAAAAUAUUAUAGUGAAUGGGAGUGAUUAAUGUACAUAUUGCCCGUCACUUUCUACUAACG